rnacentral:rRNA from 1 species
UACGAAGGGGCUAGCGUUGCUCGGAAUUACUGGGCGUAAAGCGCACGUAGGCGGCUUUCUAAGUCGGGGGUGAAAUCCUGGAGCUCAACUCCAGAACUGCCUUCGAUACUGGAGCUUGAGUCCGGGAGAGGUGAGUGGGAACUGCGAGUGUAGAGGUGAAAUUCGUAGAUAUUCGCAAGAACACCAGUGGCGAAGGCGGCUCACUGGCCCGGUACUGACGCUGAGGCGGC